UUCUGGAGUUGAAAAAUCAGGAGUUAGGCAAAAAAGAGUGAAAGAGUUAGAUUUCUGGAGUUUAUUGUUUAACUCUGACUACAGUGUGUGUUAUGGGAUACUCCCUGGCUGUGUUUUAUUUUGGAGUUCAUUAAUUGGUGUUCAGGAGCGUGUUUUAACACCACAUCUGGAGUUAAAUGUUGAGAAGUGCGCCACGACACGACCCUGGUUCUGCAGCACAAAUGACUUGUACUUCAUCGUGAGGUCACGAUUUUGAUAAAAGUGCAACGUGGAGUGAAGAAGUAUGUAAAACUGGAAGGUGUUUGUUUCUCAGAUUUUCUCAGUACAGUCCAGCAGAAGUUUCUGAUACCAAAGAAUUCAACAUUGAAAGUCACAGAUGACCAUUGCAUAGAGGUGGAUGAGGAUGUCUUUCCAGAACUUGCAACAACCAAAGAAAUGUGUUUUAUCAUCCACACUG